rnacentral:rRNA from 1 species
GACGUAGGGCGCAAGCGUUGUCCGGAUUUAUUGGGCGUAAAGAGCUCGUAGGCUGUUCGAUAAGUCGGGUGUGAAACCUCCAGGCUCAACCUGGAGACGCCACCCGAUACUGUCAUGACUAGAGUCCGGUAGGGGAGCGUGGAAUUCCUGGUGUAGCGGUGAAAUGCGCAGAUAUCAGGAGGAACACCAGCGGCGAAGGCGGCGCUCUGGGCCGGUACUGACGCUGAGGAGCGAAAGCGUGGGUAGCAAACAGG